rnacentral:rRNA from 1 species
UCGCCCUUAGAGUUUGAUCCUGGCUCAGAACGUACGCUGGCGGCACGCCUAACACAUGCAAGUCGAACGAAGUAGCAAUACUUAGUGGCGAACGGGUGAGUAUAAUGUGGGUAUCUGCCCUUUGGUCUGGAAUAACACGGGGAAACUUGUGCUAAUACUGGAUAAGCCUUUACAGAGAAAGCUUUAGCGCCAAUGGAUGAGCUCACACUUGAUUAACUAGUUGGUAGGGUAAUGGCCUACCAAGGUUGCGAUCAAUAGCUGAUUUGAGAGGAUGAUCAGCCACAUUGGGACUGAGACACGGCCCAGACUCCUACGGGAGGCAGCAGUGGGGAAUCUUGCACAAUGGGGAAAACCCUGAUGCAGCGAUGCCGCGUGAGUGAAGAAGGCCCUUGGGUUGUAAAGCUCUUUCGUCGGGGAAGAAAAUGACUGUACCCGAAUAAGAAGGUCCGGCUAACUUCGUGCCAGCAGCCGCGGUAAUACGAAGGGACCUAGCGUAGUUCGGAAUUACUGGGCUUAAAGAGCACGUAGGUGGUUAAAAAAGUUGGUGGUGCAAUCCCAGAGCUUAACUCUGGAACUGCCAUCAAAACUUUUUAGCUAGAGUAUGAUAGCAGGAAAGUAGA